CCCUCUGGUGGUAUUGACUGAAGCUGAAUGGUUAACAGGACAGUUGUCAGUUUUAAGAAAAGUAUAUUGAAAUCUAAUCAUAAAACCAAAAGUUUAACACUUCAACAUAUAAUGGUAUUAAAGCCACUCUUGAAUAACAAAUGUUAACAGCUUUAAAAAUAGCAAGACAACCUGUCAUAUAAAUAAUCUCUGAUCGGAUUUAAUAUUAAAAAUAAAACUGUUCAGAGCUAUUAUAGAAUACAUAUCAGGAAAAAUCACUAAGUGUUUACUCACAGAAGUGGUGGAAUCAGUUUCAUGGCUGUUUCCAACAUCCACCUGUUGUUCAGAAGGGUUGAUGUCAACCUGCACCUAAGAAUUAAAAGGUUAUAAUCAAAGAAUAUGAGUACACAGUAUAUUUAUUGUAGUGUAGAAUAUUUCAUGGUUAAAGUCCAUAAAAGGUUUUCCCACUGUGCUCACAAGUAAGUGUGUGUGUGUGUGUGUGUGUGUGUGUGUAAGUCACAGCUUUGUUUUUAGAGGUCACGAGACAAAAAGGGAAAAGAACACAUACCAUGGAUAAAUCACAGUUUAACAGUUCAUUUAGAUGUGUACUUACAGAAGUAGCAAUAUAAGUUUGGUCUCCAUACACCACAACUCUGUUCACAGGAGUAGGGUCGGUCACACACUGUACCUAAAUGAUAAUAAACAGAGAAUAUGAGUAUACAUUAUCUUUGUGUGUACUGAGUAUGCGUGUGUGUAAAACCUGAAUAAUUAAAUGUGACUACAUUACUGAUAUGCUAUGAUAACCUCUGGUUACCCAGUGACUU